UGAGUAACGCGUGAGGAACCUGCCUUCCAGAGGGGGACAACAGUUGGAAACGACUGCUAAUACCGCAUGACACAUUUGAAUCGCAUGGUUUGAAUGUCAAAGAUUUAUCGCUGGAAGAUGGCCUCGCGUCUGAUUAGCUAGUAGGCGGGGUAACGGCCCACCUAGGCGACGAUCAGUAGCCGGACUGAGAGGUUGACCGGCCACAUUGGGACUGAGAUACGGCCCAGACUCCUACGGAAGGCAGCAG
rnacentral:rRNA from 1 species